ACCAAACAGGAGGAUACACGUAUCAAUUGAUUAUUCUUAUUCCCAGCAUAUUUUCUUACUAAUCACAUAAAUGUAGGUAGACGCUUCUGAUUCCGUAUCCUUCCGAGUCCAGACUCUAGAGAGAAAGAAAAAGUGGAACUCGAUGGUUUCUAUAAGUAAGGAUUAAUAGUCCAAUCUCAUUAACUCAUUUUACAAAUCUUUCCAAUCUCAUUUGUGCGAGAACCUAUGGGUUCCAGUACUGAGAGCUUUAAGUUUAACAAAAAAAUCGUUGUUCAAAUGUGGGAGAAAUCAUACGGACGGCUAGACCUAAUAACGUUCCCCAAAUUUGCGACGAUGAUUUGUUCCAGAAGAUGAAGGUUUAAAACAAGCUGAGCUCAUGUUUGGUGUCGAUUUCACAAAAUCCAACGAGCAAACAGGUCGAAUAUCAUUCAAGGGCAAGAGCUUGCAUCUAAAUAGAGAAGGCAUCCUAAACCCUUACCAACACAUGAUGACUGUUUUUGCCAGAAUUUUCCCAUUUCUUCUGGAUAAGAAUUUGUUACAGAUUUGGAGAUGCAACAACACGGGAUGAUGGUGUCCUCAGCUUUAAUCCCGCCAACAACCCCUGUGCUGGAAUUGUUAGAUAUUUUCAAUAUUGUUUGCCACUACGCACAGUUUACGGUGAUCGACCUGGGGUUACUUUGGAAAAUUUACGGGCAACGCUAGAAAUUUUUUCUGGUUUUACUUUGGAAAACCUAGAAGUUUCCUUUCAAACUUGAACAGACUCGUCUCUUCCCAUAAGUCAUCAUUAAUGGCUUUUGGAAGCGUCUGUUGGUGAUGAAACGACAUAACCAACAUGCAUGAAUAUCACUAUAAGUAGCGAAGACUUUCUCCCAUUCUUCACAAUCAAUUCAACUUGUUUUCUCUCUUUCUAAAGCAUCAUCAGAAACAUCUCUCGUGUGUUCUUGGUUGGGUCAAGGGGUGCAACCCUUGAAUCCAAUUUCUCUGUUGCAGGGCUUUCAUUGUAUCCUGAAGGCAUUGUUUCACAUACCUGUUGCAAUCGCAAAUUGAUAUUGGGAGGAUAGAAAUAAUCGUCUAAAAGAAAUCUAUUCGAGCCUUGAAAGUCAGGAAUACAACAAUUUCUUUUCUGUUUAUUUCAUCCUCUAUUUGAACCAUUUUUCAACAGGAAUUGAUGAAGCGCUAGCUCAAUAUGUGAAGAUAGUGCCUGGUCUAUAUCUCGCAGAACCAAAAUCCUUUGCUCCUAUCAUUAACAUGGCUAUCUCAACUGUAAAUCAAAACCAGGGCAAGCAGCAUGUUCUAGUGAUAAUUUCUAAUGGGCCGGUGCACAGAGGUAGAUAUACUGACCUAGGUCAGCUAAGCUGCCAGGAGCAGAAGACCAUAAAUGCAAUUGAAAAUGCAAGGGAUUACUCAUUGUCAAUCAUAUUGAUUGCAGUCGGAGAUAACAGUGGGGACAUGAUGAGGUUCUUCAAGGAUAAUAUAUCUCCUCGUGCCUUCGAAAAUUUCCAAGUCGUGAACUUCACCAAUAUCAUGUCACAAGAGGUGCCUGAGACCAGAAAAGAUAUGGAUUUUGCUCUUGCACUCAUGAAAAAACUCCGUUUCCCGUGACGGUGAAUCCUAUCUAACUGUUGCGGUGAAUUCCCUGCCUUUUUGGCAUAAAUACAUGUUUAUAGUCUUGACCAUCAACUGCUACGAAUUCCUGUAUCCCGUGCUCAAGCAGUUUAAUGGAAAACCCGUCUGAAGAAAUGAAACCUCAUAUGGUUAUUCUGCACAACCUUCUGGAACAGAAGAAACACUGGGACACAUGAUCAGCAACACUGGUUUAGACAGAGCUCCCAUUCUAAUAACACUCGUUGCAGUCUAAACCAUUUCAUAUCUACUCAGUUCGCCCUUUAAACUUACGACAGCAUAUGUGGAACUGACUGAUUAUUAUGAUUGACGUAAAUGUGGUAUGAAAUGAUUUCAAUGGAAAGCAAGUUAUUCUGGACCCUGUGUCUCUAGCAGUGCUCCCUCCCUUCUGAGCUGCAGAUACAGUAUCUAAUUUUGAUCGAUUUAUAAAGAGCAUAUAUCUCAUGAUAGUGGAUCAGGAUGAGCCAGGGUCUUCUGCCCCCUCCUCAUUGCAGGAUCAGAUUAGUUCCUUACUAAGCUGUUUCUCUUCAAUCUAUUUUUACUUUCUUAAACUCCUCACAUCUUUAACCUUUUUCUAAUUAAGUUUUAUACUCCUAGGGAGUACUUGUUUUG